CCUACGGGAGGCAGCAGUGGGGGAUAUUGCACAAUGGGGGAACCCCUGAUGCAGCGACGCCGCGUGGGCGAAGAAGUAUCUCGGUAUGUAAAGCCCUAUCAGCAGGGAAGAAGAAAUGACGGUACCUGAGUAAGAAGCAACGGCUAAAUACGUGCCAGCAGGCGUGGUAAUACGGAUGGUGCAAGCGUUAUCCGGAUUUACUGGGUGUAAAGGGAGCGAAGGCGGCACGGGAAGCCUGAUGGUAAAGCCCGCGGCCCAACCGCGGGACUGCAUUUGGAACUACCGGGCUGGAGUGGCAGAGAGGUAGGCGGAAUGCCUAGUGUAGCGGUGAAAUGCGUAGAUAGUAGGAAGAACA
rnacentral:rRNA from 1 species